ensembl:lncRNA
GUGCGUGGGAUCAGCCGCUAUGCAAAGGGCUUUUUUAGUGAGACGGGUGCUGUAAAUGUCCUGGAGGGAGGGGAGAGAGACACCAAUGAUCCUCUCUGCAGCUCUCACUAUGCGUUGGAGGGUUCUAUGACAGGACGCAUUGCAGGUUCCAAACCACACAGUGAUGCAGCUCGACAGGAUGCUCUCGAUGGUGCCUCUGUAGAAAGUGUACAUGAUGGGGGCUGGUGCUCCUGCUCUUCUUAGUUUGCGGAGAAAGAAGAGACGCUGCUGUGAUUUCUUGGCCAGUGCUGUGGUGUUGUACGUCCAGGAGAGAUCCUCUGUGAUGUGCACACCCAAGAACUUGGUGCUGCUCACUCUCUCCACAGACGCUCCGUCAAUGGAAGGGGAGCCCCAUCUGCUGCCACACAGGGGGAU